rnacentral:lncRNA from 1 species
UGUUUUCAUGGCCCAAGCCUGGCUUGUGGCCUGUCAACAAGCCAAAUUUUAAGGCCUGACUUGUCUUAUCAUAAAGUCUAACUUGGCUUACAAGCCUACUUAAAAUCCUAUUUAUCUAAAAUGGUGGUGGUCGUGACUCACGGUGGUGGAGAAUAGGCGGACUUUGGGCGCCACAGUGGUGGCUGAUUGAGGCCGCCGACAUGGGUGCUUGCCUGCUGUUGUUGUGCCUCAUGUGCUAUGCUAAAAUUCUGAAAGGC